UACGUAGGGGGCAAGCGUUGUCCGGAAUCAUUGGGCGUAAAGGGUGUGUAGGCGGUUGUUUAAGUUUGGUGUGAAAUCUCCCGGCUCAACUGGGAGGGUGCGCCGAAUACUGAAUGACUUGGAGUGCGGGAGAGGUGAGUGGAAUUCCUGGUGUAGCGGUGAAAUGCGUAGAUAUCAGGAGGAACACCGGUGGUGUAGACGGCUCACUGGACCGUAACUGACGCUGAGACACGAAAGCGUGGGUAGCAAACAGG
rnacentral:rRNA from 1 species